UCAAUAAUAAAACAAAUGACAAUUUGGGGGUUGAAUUUAGACUAGAUAUGUUUGAGGCUCUAUAACAAAGUGGUCCAGGCAAAGGAAAGAACAUUCGUGAAGGCCUAGAAGAGGAAGCAGGGUAGAAUCAGCAUGAAUGAAGACUGAUGGCAGGCAGGCAGGGUGCUGAUCAUGAAGGGUUUAUGAGCCACACUAGAAAGUUGACUUCAGCCUAAGGAUAGCGGGAAGCAACUAUUGAUUUUAAGCAAGGAGGUGAUUUAUCAAUCACAUGUAUAAAAAGUUUCUUGGUAGCUGGUGGAAAAAUAUCCAUGGGGUGAAAAACUGGAGGCAGGAAACUAAGCAAAGACAAAAAAUCCAAGGGUGACACUUAGGCCAGGUGGGGAUGAGGGUAAGUGGGUAGAUUCAAAGCAGAUUUCAUGGGACUCAGUUACUGAUUGAAUAUGGAGGGUGAACAAAAGAGUAAUCAAGGAUGACUCCUAGGUUUCUAGGUAGAGCAAUUGGGUGGAUGUUGUGGCAUAUAUUUGAAUAAGGAACAUUAGGGGAGGAUAAUUUGAGGGAGUGAGUUGAUUAAUAUGGUUUCAGGAAUUUCCAGUUGGAUAAGUUGUAGAAGGCAGUUGAAUAUAUAAAUCCGGAGUUCAGGGGAGAUUUGGAGGUCAUUGGCAAUACAGAUCUCAACGCCAAGGAAGGGGAUGAGAUUUCUCAGAGAAGGUGUGGAGGGAAGAGAGGCUGAUGUAGGACAGGGUCCUGAAGAAUACCAACACUUAAGAAGGACUUGGUAAAGCAAGAGCUUGCAAAGGAUGACUUAAGACCUGUGACUAAGAGUGGUCGUAGAAAACUUUUAACAAACUGGAGAAGAGAAAAAUAUUUCACAACUGCUGAUUAAGGUAUGUUGUAUUUUUCAUUUUAUAAUUGUUGAUUAGACUUUGUUUUGAAGAAUGCAUAAAAAAUAUUUCACUUGGCAUACCUGCAACUUCAUAAUCGCCAUCACUAGUCCCCUAAAAAUGAAAAUAAACAUAUUUCCAAAUCAAACCUAAAAAGGAAUAUAACCAAAUGGAAGCUUUCCAUAUUAUUAGAUAUUACUGUCAGCUUAGAUGUCAUUUCUUCUGGGAAGAAUUUCCUGAUCUCCCAAAACCAACUCGGAUAUCUUUUCCAUGUUCAACCACAGAUCCUUCUUUCUCUUCCACAGCAGUUACACUACAUUCUAACUGUUUGUUAGUUAUGUGGCUUUUCCAUUAACCUGUAAUCUCCAUAGUAACUGUGUCCUCUAACCCCCCUGAGUUAGCAGCAUGCUUGGCACACUUGAUGUGCUUAAUAAGGUUUUUUUUCCCAUAAAUGUAUGAAUGAAAAGUCCAAGAAAAGGUACAUGUGAAAAAAUCUUUUCUAGAACUCCUCUUUUUUAAGGCCUUGGCUUUUUUUUUUUU